rnacentral:rRNA from 1 species
UACGGAGGGUGCAAGCGUUGUCCGGAAUCACUGGGCGUAAAGGGCGCGUAGGCGGCUCGGUAAGUAGGGGGUGAAAUCCUGCGGCUCAACCGCAGGGCUGCCUUCUAAACUGUCGAGCUCGAGCACGGUAGAGGCAGAUGGAAUUCCCGGUGUAGCGGUGGAAUGCGUAGAGAUCGGGAAGAACAUCAGUGGCGAAGGCGGUCUGCUGGGCCGUUGCUGACGCUGAGGCGCGAAAGCUAGGGGAGCAAACAGG